UACAGAGGGUGCGAGCGUUAAUCGGAAUUACUGGGCGUAAAGCGUGCGUAGACGGUUAUGUAAGUCAGAUGUGAAAGCCCCGGGCUCAACCUGGGAAUUGCAUUUGAGACUGCAUAGCUAGGGUGCGGAAGAGGGAAGCGGAAUUUCCGGUGUAGCGGUGAAAUGCGUAGAUAUCAGGAGGAACACCGGUGGCGAAGGCGGGUCUCUGGGCAACUACUGACGCUGGAGACGCGAAAGCGUGGGGAGCAAACAGG
rnacentral:rRNA from 1 species